AAUUAUUUCAUAUCCUGCCAAGUCGACUGUGCUGAUAACCUGAUUCUCAGAAUAGUAUGAACAACAAUUACAUUCUGCACUGGGUGCAUUCAAUAUUUCAAUGGACCAUUAUUUGGGAGUUUGUCGCUGGCUCACAGCUACCGUUACAGUUGGCCUCAUAUGGCUGGAACUCAGCACCUCAUUGACAUGUAAACUGACAAUGUAUAUGUGUUUUGUGUUC